UGCCACCAUGGAAGAUAGAGGCAACAAAACCAAACGACUACCGGCUUUACCGCCAUGUAAAAUAUGUGGGGAACCCGCUUCCGGGUUUCAUUAUGGACUCAACUCUUGUGGUGCAUGCAAAGGUUUUUUCCUUCGAAGUCUACUGAGACCUGACCCUUACAAAUGUUCAACGGAUGGAAAAUGUCAAGUCGGUCCAGAAAUAAAGCGACGUAAAAUAUGCCAGAAAUGUCGUUUUGACAAAUGUUUACGACUUGGUAUGUCAAAAAAUGGUA
rnacentral:sRNA from 1 species